UACCGUAUAUACUCGUGUAUAAGUCGAUCUCAUGUAUAAGUCGAGUGCAGUUUUGUAACCAACAAUUGUGAAAUAUGCUAUGCCUCGUGGAUAAGUCGAGGGUAAAACUUGGGGCUAUGAAAUUCUGUGAUUUUUAUAAUUAUAUACACACACACUCAUACAAACACAUACUCUGCAUUAUAUACACAGACUCUGUGUAUAUAAUGCAGAGUGUGUAUAUAAUGAAGAGUGUGUGUUUGUGUAGUGUGUGUGAACUGGGUGGGGGGAGGGCAUUUUUAUUAUUUUAAUUUUAAUAUUUUUUUACUUAGUUUAAAAAAAAAUUGUCCCCCCUCCCUGCUUGUUAACCGGUCAGGGAGGGGGGCUAUCUUAAUCCCUGGUGGUCCAGUGGCAUGGGCUGUGAAGUGGGGGGACCGGCAGGAAGCAUUUACUUACCUUUCCUGCAGCUCCUGUCAGCUCCCUUCUCCUCCGUUCCGGUCAGCAACACUGUAAGUCUCGCGGUCUGGUUGCUGCGCGGAUCGUUGCCACGGCUCUGACGGCCGCGGCUCUCUAAGUUGCCAUAAAACAGACAGUGACUCGAGUAUAAGUCGAGUGGGUGUUUUUAAGCUCAAAAAAUGUGCUUAAAAACUAGACUUAUACUCGAGUAUAUACUGUA